UACGUAGGGUGCAAGCGUUAAUCGGAAUUACUGGGCGUAAAGCGUGCGCAGGCGGUUUUGUAAGUCUGACGUGAAAACCCCGGGCUCAACCUGGGAAUUGCGUUGGAGACUGCAAGGCUAGAAUCUGGCAGAGGGGGGUAGAAUUCCACGUGUAGCAGUGAAAUGCGUAGAGAUGUGGAGGAACACCGAUGGCGAAGGCAGCCCCCUGGGUCAAGAUUGACGCUCAUGCACGAAAGCGUGGGGAGCAAACAGG
rnacentral:rRNA from 1 species